rnacentral:lncRNA from 1 species
CUAGUCAAACACACGCAAUAGGUCUCAAACAAGCGUUUUAGGAGUCCGCUCCGAGUUCCUCUUGAAGAUCUCCUCGGUUGCCUGAGCAAACAAUAAUUCAAGUACCACUCAAUAUCGCUACGAAUUCUCUAGUUUUCGAUGAAGAUUGUACGCUAGUGAAAUCUAAGAAAUUAACGCGGAGACGAGCCUAAGAAUUCGUGUAACUCGAGGUUCACAAGUGGGGUUUUAAAAUACAAGACAAAUCUGAUUUCCAUCUCUGGAUUCAAAUGUAAAACAAUCAAAUGAUAUUGACAGAAAUGAAGAGUUCGAAACCCCUUAGUUUCCUUUAAGUUAGAAAAUUCCAGAUUUAACAAGUAAUCUUUGAAAAAUCAUAUCUUACUCUCUACAAGCCCAAAAUUGAAAAACUUGGUACUAUUGGAAACCUCUUUGAAAGUACUAAAAGUUCCUAGAAUACACUUUUCCAUGAUUCUAAAUGGAUAUAGUCAAAAAUGGGCUCAAUGUUACUGUUUUGGUUCAUAAGGCAGAUUAAAGUUGGUUUUUGGCCAACUUUGGAAUUUCGGCAAAAUUCACUUGUUUGGAACUAGCUUUUGAAAUUUUCAACCCUAUUAGUGUUGUAAUCCAAGAGUAUAACAAAAUAAAUGGAACGAGAAACGGGGUUUUGAGCACCAAGAUACGGUAGCUCAAAGUUACUAAAAUUCUCUUGUGAAACAUGGGUUUUUCAAACUCGAGUCAUGAAUUUUGGUAAUUUAUUUGACCCAUGAAACGGCCUCAGAAUAACACCAUAAUUAUCAGUAUAAUACUACCAUAUAAGGGUUGUUCCUCUACCAAAUUUCAUGGAAAAAUAACUUCGGAAAGGUGGUCAAUCAAACACCUAAAAUUUCGCAAAUACUAAGACAAAACUGCCUUGAACCUUUUGUUUUUCCAUUUCAGACAUUUGGUCAAAGGAAAAUUCCUCCAAACCUGGUUCAUGGUACAUUUGGUAAGUGUUUAGCAUCAAAAUAUUCAGUUAGCAAGUCUUUGCCAAACCUUGCAUCAAAUCUGUCUAAAAAUCAGGGUUUUCAAGGACAGAGCAGGUUUCAUAUUUUGAUCACAGAUCACUCAAAUUAACUCAGAAUUUGUCAUGGUUUAAGGCGUUGGAAAAUACAUUCAUAGAGCUAUAAUUUCACAGAAGAAAUCAUUUUGAAAUUCGGCACACAACUAGCUCGAAUUCGAGUCACAAGUUGCAGCCUCAGCAUUUUGUUCUUGUAAAGCAGAGAAACAGAACAGCCAACUUAAAAUAGUUGUUUUGGCUCACAUACAUGGAACCAGAAUGUGCAUUUUAUAUCAUCGAAAAGGUUGGAAUGUCUAGUUUCAAAUGCCGCUGACGGCACUCGAUUUCGACAUCGGAGUUCAAAAUUAUGGCCGAAAUACGAAAGCUGGUCAGAGCAUUUCGGAAAUAGUUCCAGAUUUACUAGCUUUGUUAAAUCGAUUUAUUUGACCAACCUAACCUCAAUAUUUUUCAAUGAAACUUUGAACAUCAUAUAUUCAACAUAUCAACAUGAUAUACAAGUCAUGAAACCCUCAAAAUUUUGCAAAAAGGGGUGCGAUUAAAACAGGGUAAAUCUGAACAUUUUUGAACUAUGCAUCUUUUGGAGUCUAGACUAGCUAGGUAUCAUUAAUCUACCUAUUUAAACACUAAACUAGCAUUAUAUCCAUCAUCAAUCCAAGGGUGGGAGUUCAUAGAGCCCACCAUCAAAAUUUUCCGACAUGAAAUAAAACAAAUAACAUGUAAUUUUGGCAAAUAAUUCCACCACAAUAAAUCUGUCAUCGGCUAAACAGAAUUUCCAGCAGCUAAUUGGUCAUAAAACCAACUUUUUACUCGGCUAAUACAUGAUAUUAAGUACUCAAAUCCGACAAACAAAUACUUGACUAGCUAAUCAGAUCAUCCAAGUCAUUGUGGGAAUUCAUAGAGCCCACUCACCAAUUUUCCAUUAAAACUCAAAAGAGCCACCAUCGGCUAAGCUGGAAAAAAAUUGCAGCAGCUAUGUUUCAACAUUUUUGGUCAAUUCAUCCAACGGAUCAAGUACUUUACAACUGAAUAUCUUACAAGACUUAAGACACAUAUAUUUCAUGCAUUAACUUAUCUUAACCAAUUAACACUUCUAGUUCGGAAUUAAAUUCAAACAAUGGUCAUAAACCUCAAAAUUUCCAGGUUCAACCUCACGGUAGUUCACAAAUUUUCCAGCGAUUGUAUGUUUUUAUUACAACUUUUUCCUUGGCUAAAACAGAGUAUUAAGGUCUCAAUUCAACAUGUCAUCACUUAACUAGUUAAUUAACAUAUCUAGCUCAGGAAUUACUUUCGAUUAACAACAAAAAUCCUCCAAAAUUUCCAGAAAUUUCCAGCUUCAAACCUCGGUUGUUGUGGCAUGAAAACUGAUUGCAUUGUGAUUUUAUUUCGGAUUUAACCCAACUAAUUAGCCACAUGCAAAGCUCAAUUAUCUCGUUAUUAGCUAGUUAGUUAUGGUUAUAGGCUCAAAGCAACAAGAUUAAACCAAAUGAAGCUAUAUUAUUCAAGGCAGACUCUCGGUAGAAAUUUUUCAUCAAUACAGAAUUUUCCUAAGCUCCUUAAUUCAUUAUCCAACUUCAUAAAAUUGUCAUGCAAGGCCCUAAUUAGCUUAACCAUCCGAGUUUUAAUUAGCUAAACACGGUUUCAUGCUCAGAUUGUCGAAAUUAAGCAAAUUACAACUGCAUUUUUCAUCUCAAACUCACGACAAAAAUCAUUUUCACUGGAUCGGAUUUUCUCAAGCUCCUAAUUCCUCAUCCGGACACUCAAUCCAGCAUGCGUACAUUAAUCUUUGUGUUAUCAACUUAGCUAAUCACAGCUAGCAAAGUAAGAACCGAAAUUUCCAGAAACAAGCUGCAAUUCCAGCUUCAAACUUUCGACAGCUUUAAUUCUUUUUCCAAAUCAGAUUUCUUAAGUCACAAUUCCUCAUCUAACCUCACAAGCACCACAUGCAAGUCCAUAGCUGACCUCACUUGCCUAUAACCAACUAAUUUCAGUUCAGAAGUUACCUCAAAUGGAGCUCAUACACACGGUUAGCAGCAGAAAUAAUCCUCCUCCCUUCGGCAGCCCAGAAAAUGCAGACCACUAGCUCUCUCUCUCCCUUGCUCUGGGUGGCGGCUGGAAUGGAGAAAGUUCAGCCCUUAGUCCCUUCACCAGCUCACGGUUAGAAGACAGAAUGAAUCACAAGUCCCUCUCUUCUCCCUCUAGCUUACGGACGGAAAGAAAAGAAACAAGAAGCUCGGCUCUCCCUCACUCUCACUCUCGGCUUGCAGAGUGCAGCUCUCUCUCUCUCUCUCUCUCUCUCUCUUGGUCGAUGAUUACAAGGUGAGGAAAUGUUGUUGUGGUUUGGGCUGAGGUAACAAUGGAGAGGAAAUGGAGAUGAAUGGCAGAUAAGGUGCCGCGGUUUGUAAUAUGAGAUGAUGAGGAAGUAUUGUGGUGCCGUGGUUU